ACAAUCUUUCCCACCUCCAGCGAAACCGUCUCCCGGUCUCUCCACCACCAUCUCUCUUGCUCUUCUGGAACGGGUAUAAAAAGGGAGGGGGCGCCUCUGCCUCCUCUCCAUCGCCAUUAGUGCCUCACGCUCCUCACUGGGAAAAGGGACAGACUACACUGGAAGGAUCAGCGAGAAGGACCGCGCUGGAGAAGCAGGGCACGUGCAUGCAUGCGAGCGCGCUCGAUCUCCUCCUGCCUCCGCGGGUGGGAUCAGAGCUGCUAGCCCUGCACUGCACUGCACGUGUUCUUCUCCUCCAUCACGGUCGUUCCUCGCUCCGGAGCCCGGCGCCGCCGUCGGCCUGCCACGCCCGCCCGCGAGCACGAACCGUACCACGUCGUGUGCCCUCCGGUCCCACGGUCGAUCCACGAGAUUUUGGCCCGCAGCGGAAUCAGAUUUUGGAAAGCACGUCCUGGGCUGCUUCUCCUUUUGGUUCAGAUUUUGGCAGCGGAUUUCUGAAAUCGGAUUCUGCUGGGUUCGCCCUUUGGUUCAGAUUCUGCUGCGCGGCAGCGGAAUCCGUUGAUAAAAGCUGAACCAAACAGGGCCUGAGUGUGACCUUGGCCCCUCUGGGUUGGUGGAGGGAGGUGCGGAUCCGAUCAAGGAGGCAAGUGCACCGAGCAAUUGCAACGACGACAUUGGGAGCACUCGCCAUUUGGUCUGAUAUAGGCCAGAACUAAAGCUUGCGAUGACUGUGGUUGCAAUUAUUCCGGUUCAGUCUCUUUUCUAGCAAAGUGUUCACCUCUUAGAUUUUUUGUAUGUAUGGAAGUGUUGGUUGUCUAUUUUACCUCUCUACACCGGCCCACUAGCAGCUAGGUGUGCUCCGUACGCCAUGUACUGAGAUCCAGCACGAUUGCACGAAUCCCUGGUGUAACUGAGAUGGCGUAGAGAAGCAUGCAUCACGCAAAGUUUUUACGCAAUUUAUUACAGCAACAAAAUAAUGAGCUUGUUUGAAACUUUGGCCAAAUCA